UACGGAGGGCGCAAGCGUUUUUCGGAAUCACUGGGCGUAAAGCGCGUGUAGGCGGCUUGGUAAGUCGGGUGUGAAAGCCCGGGGCCUAACCCCGGAACUGCACUCGAAACUGCCUCGCUCGAGUCCCGGAGGGGAUGGUGGAAUUCCCGGUGUAGUGGUGAAAUACGUAGAUAUCGGGAGGAACACCAGCGGCGAAGGCGGCCAUCUGGACGGUGACUGACGCUGAGACGCGAAAGCGUGGGGAGCAAACAGG
rnacentral:rRNA from 1 species